CUUUUUAAAAAUAUCUUACAAAGAGGCUUGUGUUCUGAAAUCCCUGGUUUUAUCCAGGCUUAUCCCUCGGCGAACACUCAUGCAGUCUGUUCGGGAUUGUGAUCAGUAAAUGAAGUGAAAAUUGAAAUGAGGUAACUAGUGUAUGCUCUUUGUUUCAUAUAUAUUUUCCAGAUAACCAUGCUUUCAUUUUCCUUGAAGUAAGAACCAACCCAGAAAUCUUGUCUCUCCCUUGGAGCAAGGAAGCUAAUGGGAACAGUUCUCUUUCACAAAUGGCAGAUGUGAUGAGAAGCAUGCCGACUUACGUCCUGCAGCUCAUUCUGAAUGUUUGUUUUCAGCAAUCAAAAUAUAGAAGAGGACAUUUCCUGACUUUCUGCCAAGGGAUUUGCUCUAAAUUGUGCCUUUUAAAUAAAAUAUCCCACACGGAAUCGUGUACACUACCAAUCUGAAAAAUGAAUGCAGAACAGAGGGUUUUUUUUUCUACUGAACAACAUUUAUGUAAUGCCCACUUGACCUGAUUUGCUUCUUGCAAUGAAAAUUGCUGUGGCAUACAUACUUUGCAUUCAG
rnacentral:lncRNA from 1 species